AUACGUAGGAUCCGAGCGUUGUCCGGAUUUACUGGGCGUAAAGGGUGCGUAGGCGGCGUGGUAAGUCUCAUGUGAAAUCUCCCGGCUUAACUGGGAGGGGUCAUGGGAUACUGCCAUGCUCGAGGGCAGUAGAGGAGAGCAGAAUUCCGGGAGUAGCGGUGAUAUGCGUAGAUACCCGGAGGAACACCCGUGGCGAAAGCGGCUCUCUGGGCUGUACCUGACGCUAAGGCACGAAAGCGUGGGGAGCAAACCGAAUUAGAAACCCGAGUAGUCC
rnacentral:rRNA from 1 species